rnacentral:rRNA from 1 species
CCUUGUACACACCGCCCGUCACACCACGAAAGCUCGCUGUACCAGAAGUCGUUGGAGCUAACCCGAAAGGGAGGCAGACGCCCAAGGUAUGGUUGGUAAUUGGGGUG